rnacentral:rRNA from 1 species
AUUGAACGCUGGCGGCAGGCCUAACACAUGCAAGUCGAACGAGUGGCGGACGGGUGAGUAAUGUCUGGGAAACCGCCUGAUGGAGGGGGAUAACUACUGGAAACGGUAGCUAAUACCGCAUACCAUCGGAUGUGCCCAGAUGGGAUUAGCUAGUAGGUGGGGUAAAGGCUCACCUAGGCGACGAUCCCUAGCUGGGCUGAGCGGAUGACCAGCCACAAGUGAACUGAGAAACGGUCCAGACACCUACGGGAGGCAGCAAUUGGGAAUAUUGCACAAUGGGCGGAAGCCUUAUACAGCCAUGCCGCGUGUAUGAAGAAGGCCUUCGGGUUGUAAAGUACUUUCAGCGGGGAGGCGUUACCCGCAGAAGAAGCACCGGCUAACUCCGUGCCAGCAGCCGCGGUAAUUC